GCGGCGGACGGGUGAGUAACACGUGGGCAACCUGCCUGCAAGACCGGGAUAACUGCGGGAAACCGGAGCUAAUACCGGAUAAGAGGCUUUUCCGCAUGGGGGAGCCUUAAAAGGCGGCGGAAGUCGUCACUUGCAGAUGGGCCCGCGGCGCAUUAGCUAGUUGGUGAGGGAAGGGCUCACCAAGGCGACGAUGCGUAGCCGACCUGAGAGGGCGACCGGCCACACUGGGACUGAGACACGGCCCAGACUCCUACGGGAGGCAGCAGUAGGGAAUUUUCGGCAAUGGGGGGAACCCUGACCGAGCAACGCCGCGUGAGCGAGGACGGCCUUCGGGUUGUAAAGCUCUGUCAUGUGGGAAGAACGGCUAGGAGAGGGCAUGCUCUUAGCGUGACGGUACCACAGGAGGAAGCCCCGGCUAACUACGUGCCAGCAGCCGCGGUAACACGUAGGGGGCGAGCGUUGUCCGGAAUUAUUGGGCGUAAAGGGCGCGCAGGCGGUCUCUUAAGUCUGAUGUGAAAGGCCACG
rnacentral:rRNA from 1 species